UUAAAAUUCUAGGCCGGGGGGCCCAAAAUUUUAUGACACCGGCCAACAGUUUUCGAACAGAUUUGUUUACUAAUUCUAUUUGAUGCGCACCUUCGCAGCCCCUCCCCUAGAAUUUAGCCACACCCCUAUACAUCUAUGGCGCAUGCGCACUAAUUUAUAUAAAUGCUGAAGCAGAAGCUGAACCUCACAUUUGCAGCAAGUUUGCAGUAUCAAUGUGACUGUCCAUCAUCUCUGAGUCUCUACAAAAGUGAAGUGAUCUCUUCAACAUGUCUCUACAUCUCAAGAAGCUCUACUCCACCUCUAAACCUUGCAGCUGCAAAUGUCCACUAAAGCUCAACAAUUGCUCUUAUUCGAUUCGAUUCUUAUAUACGCCCAGCCACGAAUAGAUAGUGUUCAUCACAACACGAAAUUCGAAAACGAACGAUCAACAACAACAAAAAGCACUCAACAGUCAUCUCAUUAUAUCAGACAUUAUUAUUCUGUUAGAGAGGGGCCCCUCACAGUAGUCAGUAUCUUUAAUUAUUCAUUUUUGUGACAGCAGUAUAACACAACAAGUGGCAGUAUCUGCUCUUGAGCACUGACUAAUUAAAUGAUCUGACAACACGAGACCACUGGGUGGAAUAUUGAAGUCAAGUCUAUCCACUACUGAACUAUUGAAGUCUAUAUCUGAACUAUAUUGAAGUACUGAAGUCUAUCCACUACUUAUGAAGACAAGUCUGGAACAUUUCUACUAACAUCACUGACACUGACACUGGCUAUCAACACUGCAGAUGGUGGUACUCACGCACAGACUGGUUGUGGUCUGAUAGUUAUGACGAGCCUUAUACGUACUGUAUAUCAAGCCUUAAAUCGUGUCUACUAAUGUCUACCCCCUAAUAAUCUAUUUCUCGCACUGCAUAGUUCUUGCUCUGGGGGACCAACUGGCAGAUCUGACAUACUGCACUGCAGAUGGUGACAUUUCAAGAAUCUACAUGAUUAGUAUAAUUAUGGGUUGUAGUUUGGCAUUAGAUAGUUAUCAAGCAAGCCUGGUAUAUUAGCAUGUAUGAGUACUAUCAGGCACUCCUGGUACUAUAUUGAUGAGUCCUAAUCUAUUUCUUACACUACAUGGUUCUUGCUCUGGAGGGGACCAACUGGCGGAAUUUGUAUAGAAAAGACUCUUUUAUGUCCGACACACUGGAUACUGGCAGCAUAUCGAGAACCUACAUAUCGGUUGUGGUCUAAUGAUUAAUAUAUUGAGCCUUACACCAUUCUAUCAAGCCUUGUGUAUAUUCGUACAUGUAUGAUUACUACUGAUAUGUCCUACCCCAACAACCAACUGCUUUACUAUAGUCUGUCUCUUUCAAACCUUGCAUCCCUGUAGAACCACUCACCAGCUGCAUGUAUUGUGUGCUUCAGACGUACCUAUAGUAUACUUCCUAUAACCCUAUUCUAACCAAAUUCUCCCACUACAUGGUUCUAGCUCUGGAGGACCAACCGUCAGAAUUUCUAGAAAGACUCGUUUAUUCGACACGCUGGACGAACUACUUGUGGCAUUUCACUAUCAAGAAUCUACAUGUCGCUUGUGGUGGUCUGACAAUUAUUCUUAUUUGAGCCUUAUACAGUAACAAGCCUUGUGUGUUACAUGACAUGAGUACCUAACCCCAUGCAUGCAUGUACCCUCUAAUAAUCUAUUUCUCCCACUACAUGGUUCUAGCUCUGGAUGACAACUGGCGGAACUUCUAUAAAAGACUCGUUUAUAUCCGACACUGGAUCGACAGCAUUUCAAACAAGAAUCUAUUAUAUCGGUUGUGGUCAAACAAGUUUAAAAUAAUAUUGAGCCUUAUACACAGCUAGUUACGUAGCAAGCCUUGUGUACAUGUGUGUGCUCUGUGUCCUAACCUCUACCCCUGGUGUCAUACAUGCAUUAUAGAGUUCUAGCUGGCUCUUGGGGACCAACUGGCAGAAUCUCUAGAAAGAACUCGUUUUUAUUCGACACACUGGCAUUUCACUAUCAAGAAUCUACAUAUCGGUUGUGGUCUGACAAUUAUUCUUAUUUGAGCCUUAUACAGUAACAAGCCUUGUGUGUUACAUGACAUGAGUACCUAACCCCAUGCAUGCAUGUACCCCCUAAUAAUCUAUUUCUCCCACUACAUGGUUCUUGCUCUGGAGGACAACUGGCGGAAUUUCUAUAAUAAAAUUAUAGAGAAAAAACUCCAUAUUACAUCUGACAGUAGAGGGACUGCUGGUGACAUCUACGUAUCGGUUGUGGUGGUCUGAUGAUUAAUUCGAAAUAAUUAUAAGCUUUUAUAUAUAAUUAUACAGUUCAAGCCUUGUAUAGUGUAAUUCCAUGUAUGAGGUAGUACUACGUAUGUGUCCUAACUCUACCCUUCACACUACAUGGUUCUGGCUCCGGGGGACCUACUGCACUGGAGGGAGUAUCCACCACGUCACAUACUGAAGCAAUGAUAGCUGCUGCAAUGAACCAUCAUACAUAACUCAUCACAAUCAUACUUUUGGGGCUCCCCAUCAUUUUUCAUUUCCUUUUCGUUUGUCAUACUGUAAAUGAAAAAUGAACUCGAUCUACUGGUUCUCUGGAGGGGGAGUGGUCAGACCACACCUACUACAACUGUGGCCACACCCACAUGAUGGCCACACCCUCAUGUUAGGCAACAGCAACUCUUACAUGAGAAUCUCCAUUGGAUAGCAAAUUCUAACCACCUGGAUGUAACUAAUUAGUCUCGUGGCCAGACUACCUUCUAAUAACCUGGACUGGGACAGCCUCUAGAUAUCCCAGAUGGUCCCAUGGGCGGAUGGGCGGGGGGCCAGCGAUGCAGUGCCACAUACUCGCGACGGUGCUGGCUGUCACACUGCAUGGAGGGAGGACUCUCUCUCUGCAUGGAGGAAGGACUAUCUCUCUGCAUGGAGGGAGGACUAUCUCUCUGCAUGGAGGGAGGACUCUCUCUCUCUCUCUCUGGUGUGCAAGAGCACUGCAAACUGAACAAUAAUUAUGAUAAUGAACAUACAAACAUUAUUGAACAUUAAUUUUACAAUGGUUGGUGUAAUGAAAAUGGCUUUUAAGUGUUA